CAGUUGUUGGAUUUGAAGUGCCAGACAAAUUUGUUGUGGGAUACGCCCUAGAUUACAAUGAAUACUUUAGAGAUUUGAACCAUAUCUGUGUGAUCAGCGAGACGGGGAAGCAGAAGUACAAAGCAUGAAAGCAUAGUUCAAGUGCUAUGACAACAGAGCUUUGAAAUGUUUUGUUUACCGAGUCCUAUCUUUCACAAGCUUCAACUCUGGUACACCAGCUAAAAUUGUAGAAUGCCCCAGCCCCAUUGUCAUACGCUUACUAUAAUUUAUUGCAUGUACAAUAUAAGAUCUUGUCUUGUUCAUUUAUAUUUUAGAAAUGUAAACAACUAGUGCAAUUCUGCACUCCUUAUUUUGAUUUGCACUAUGACUCUACCGACUAUUGCUGCCCCUGGUUGGGUUGUGCUGUUUGUGAGCUCCAGAGGCUAACUCUUGCAGUGGUAAAUUGCUUAAACCUCAUCUACCCAGAACUGAAAUAGUUCGAGUACUGUAAAUGUAAAACAUUUUAUGAUAGGGAAGUCUAUUAGUAAUAUUUUUAAAAUCUGUAAUUUAAGUUUUAUAUUUUAAUGCACAAAUGUGUUUGUGAUUAAUGGAUAGUUGCACCUUUGGGUGUUAUAAAGCAUGAGGAGCAGCCAGUUACAGUAUCUGUAAUCUCCAAGGAGCUCAUUCAGAUCUCCUGGAGUUGCCUUAUUGCUGUAAAGGAAGUCUGGGUGAAAAAUGUCUUUUUUGUUUGUUUGUUUGUUUGUUUGCUUUUUUUAAAGGGCAUGGAAUGACAAAACAGAGUGUUUAGAAUCUAGUUUUAGCUGAGCUGCCUGUUUCUGUUAAUUUUUUUUUUCCUUUGGAAAUGUCCAUCAGCCAGUGGAAUUGCCUUUUAAAUUUAAACAAUUUUAAUAUAUUUCUGAAAAGUAUUGUAAUGUUUACUUUAUAAGAUCUACAAAACAAAGUACUCUAAAUAAAGGCUGUCUCUUUAAAAUAA